rnacentral:rRNA from 1 species
UACGGAGGGUGCGAGCGUUAAUCGGAAUAACUGGGCGUAAAGGGCACGCAGGCGGGCUUUUAAGUGAGAUGUGAAAUCCCCGGGCUUAACCUGGGAAUAGCAUUUCAGACUGGGAGUCUAGAGUACUUUAGAGAGGGGUAGAAUUCCAUGUGUAGCGGUGAAGUGCGUAGAGAUGUGGAGGAAUACCGAAGGCGAAGGCAGCCCCUUGGGCAUAGACUGACGCUCAUGUGCGAAAGCGUGGGGAGCAAACAGG